AAAAGCGUUUUUCAUGGUCGCGAUCACAGUUCCAGCACCUUGUUAUGCUGAAAACAAGAACUACUCUGAAAAUUAAUAACACGCUGCAAGGAAGGCUACUACAUUUGUUCUAGUACUUUUCCCUCCUUCCAUCCUUUGGUUGUUUGAAUAUAUUUCUUGCAAUCCCAGAAUCCCCUGAGCCCGCGAUUUUCGUUGCAACUAACCACUGACAGGGGCUGUCUGGGGAUGGGUUUGUAUUGGAUGUUCAAAGAGCUCGCGCUUUUACAGCUGGCAUAAUUGACAUGACUAUCAAAUGGAUUCUAUUGUCGAUAAUAUUGGCCUUGCGCUUAUUUAUAGAUUUUUCAACGGCGGCAUAGCAUUAGUAUUUGGCUUCUCUAUAGAAGGAAACUCACUUGAAAAAGGAUCAGGAAAGGCGAACAAAGCUUAAUGUGCUUAUCAGCUUCCCUGCAAACUGUCUCAAAUAUCGAUUUCAAUUCAAUCGCCACGGGCAAUUGAGAUAGUUCUAUGGCAGUGCGCCAAGGUUUUACAACAGGAGACACCAACAAGAAAACCAACAAACAAAACAACAAACAACGUUAAAUAAUAAACACACACAAAGCGUCAGUUGAACUGUGGAUAUGCACAGACUUUCGUAGAUAAGUGUUUAAAAGUGUUAAAAAUAACAUAAAAAAGUGUUUAUAUUCAAUAAUAUAUAAGAGAUACGUAUUGACUGGGCUCGGCUUUGCAGGCUGUGGGGACAAACACUUAGAGCUUAAUGCUAAGAACCGAGCCUGUGCUUUUACCCUCGGUAACUAGUGUUACUAAGGAAGUUACUAGUUUCCAGGGGUAGCCAGGGGGGUGGCCUAGGCCCCCCCUUUUAGCAGCCAAAAAUAAAGUAAAUGUAUGAGAAAUUAUCUAAAAUACAGGAGAAAAUGCCUUGAAAGUCCCUUCUGGGCCCCCUCCUAUUAUAAGUCCUGGCUACGCCGCUGUGUACCAUGGUAAAUAGCACUUGCCUGCUUGCGCACGCCUCUUUUCUUUGUACUUCGCUGGGCUGGCGUCCGUACUAGUGACUACAUACGUGUGCUACUUACUAUUAGUAUACAGUACAGAAACUAGUAACCGCUCUUUGCGCCCUCUAGAAAUUGUAUCAUUUUAAAUACGUAUAAAAAGGAGAAGAAAAGAUAUGUACGUAUAAAAAGGAGAAGAAAAUAAACUAUUUUCAUUGAAUAA